rnacentral:rRNA from 1 species
CGGAGCCGCAGCGAAAGCGAGUCUGAAUAGGGCGUUUAGUACGUGGUCGUAGACCCGAAACCAGGUGAUCUACCCAUGUCCAGGGUGAAGUUCAGGUAACACUGAAUGGAGGCCCGAACCCACGCACGUUGAAAAGUGCGGGGAUGAGGUGUGGGUAGCGGAGAAAUUCCAAUCGAACCUGGAGAUAGCUGGUUCUCCCCGAAAUAGCUUUAGGGCUAGCCUUAAGUGUAAGAGUCUUGGAGGUAGAGCACUGAUUGAACUAGGGGUCCUCAUCGGAUUACCGAAUUCAGUCAAACUCCGAAUGCCAAUGACUUAUCCUUAGGAGUCAGACUGCGAGUGAUAAGAUCCGUAGUCAAGAGGGAAACAGCCCAGAUCGCCAGCUAAGGUCCCAAAG